AAAAUUUCAGAGCCAGCAAAAGUAGACUUCUUCUGAGUCAGGUGGCCUACUUCCUGAACUACCAGCUGAAGAUCUACAGAGAUCGAAAAGAUCACGAUGAAGAACAGAAAUGCAGAGACAGCAAAAAUAAACUUCUUAUGAGUCAAGUGGCCUACUACCUGGGCUGCCGGCUGAAGACGGAAGUCCCUGGCUAUCUGUGUUCUGCCCCAAACAUCAGCACAGUGGCAUCUGGCAAGGCUCCUUCCAGAGAAAACACAGAGGUGAACGUUGCAGAUCCCAACAG